GCAAUAGUUGAAUUGAAGUCACUGUUGAACAGAUAAGCUCUCAAACUAUUUAGCAACCAACAUAACUAUUUAAGCUCAAAAGAAAAUACAAUAGCAUACGGAUUCUUCUGGUAGUUUUCAAUAAAAUCAAAUACAAAAGGAGCAUCAUCGUCCUCGAUUCCAUAGAACGACGAAAAGCACAAUUAUAUCCUAUCAAACGCCUAAGAUGGAAAAACAAAUCUAGAAAUCUCAGAACCAAGCUUCAGAAAUUAACCAACAGAAACCUAGAAUCAACUAAGAGCGAAGAAGGGAAAUUGCAAAAGGCAGGAAGACCUAGGUUACAACAAUUCAAUCGGCUCGGAAACAAAGCAAAAAUUAUCAAAUUAAGAUCCAUAGAAGAAGAAAAACCGAAUUAGACAAAAAAAACAGAUUACGAUCUUGUUACCUGCGUCGAUUCCAGGUCAAAAGU